rnacentral:rRNA from 1 species
AUUGAACGCUGGCGGCAGGCCUAACACAUGCAAGUCGAGCGAGCGGCGGACGGGUGAUUAAUGUAUGGGGACUGCCCGAUAGAGGGGGAUAACUACUGGCACCGGUAGCUACUACCGCAUACUAUCGGAUAACCCAUAUGGGACUAGCUAGUAGGUGAGGUAAUGGCUCACCUAGGCGACGAUCCCUAGCUGGUCUGAGAGGAUGAUCAGCCACACUGGGACGGAGACACGGCCCAGACUCCUACGGAGGCAGCAGUGGGGAAUAUUGCACAAUGGGAGAAAGCCUGAUCCAGCCAUGCCGCGUGUAUGAAGAAGGCCUUAGGGUUGUAAAGUACUUUCAGUCGGGAGGCGUUACCGACAGAAGAAGCACCGGCUAACUCCGUGCCAGCCGCCGCGGUAAUAC